AGCUGAAAAGACGUAAAGGAAGCAGUCAGCCCAGUGGUGUUUGUGGAGAGGUAUUCCUUCAGAAAUGGAGACGACAGAAAGCUGCGGAGGCAGACAUUUGCAGCAGAUUGUUUGCAGAUAAUGCUGUUCUUCUUUUUCAGAAGUUUUUGGUGAGCCAACCCUCACAAACCUUCCUAAAAACUAAAAGAGCUAUUACUGAGUCUCAGUGAAUCUUGCCAUGAUCAGCUCUUACCAGAAGAGAAGGAAGACCAAGGAAAUGAUUUGCUCAGUAUGAGGAAUGAAGACGGCCAUCUUGAGCCCAAACAAAGACAGAAGUCCUCUGAUGAUCUCAUCAGCCAAAGGAGGGGUUUUGACCAAAUGAUGCCCUUGAAAGGAGUGAAAGAAGAGGAUGUGGUAAAUUGUCUUCAAAGAAAAAGCUUCUCAAAAGGUCUUAAAGCAGCUUGAAGAAUAGUAAGUGUACAGUACUACAAGGGUCAUAGUUGCUCACCCUGCUAAAAUCACACAGAACAUAAGCUGAGCUCUCUGUCCAUUAAACAACUUCAUCUGAAUUGUUUGUUUCACUUUGACCAGGUCUGGGAUGUUAGGACUGAGAGAUCCUCUGGCUGAG